GCCUGCGCCGGACUGGAGAGCGCGGAGGGCCGACCUGACCCGCCGAAAGGGCCUGAGGCGAGGGGAGCCCGGGUCCCGGGGCCUUGGGGAAGGACCCGCAGCCGCACGCCGGCCCCAAGUGCAAAGCAUUGACACGACCCCGAGCGGAGAGGGGGCGCCCUCCUUCUCCCGCGCCCAGAGGCCCGGCCGCUCUGGCCCGAGCCCCAGCCUGGCCUCCGACCCAGCUCCGGGUCGUGGCGCCGCCUGGGGGUCCCUGCGCCCCGGAAAGAGACAGCAGGCACUGGAAAGCGAGGCCGGUGGGCGGGCGAGUCGGGAGGCUCGGGCGGCCGAGGUCCGGGAGCGGAUCCCAGGUGGCGGGAGCUGGUGCCCUGGCAGGAGGGACUGGCUUAUGCCACCCUGUGCAGGAUCGUCUUCUCAGCUUACAGAGCCUAGUGUGAUUCAACAACCCUCCAUCUCUGCCCCCAACAUGCCCAACUGAUCUGGUGGAGGGAACUGAAGAUGAAGGCCUCUCAGGCACCAUGGAUGGGAUGGGUGUGUGUGAAGGGGGCAGGGUCCCCAGGAGCUGCCCCAGGUCUGGCUGGACAGUUGCACGGGAAGUCCUGUUUGUGAACUCAACGUUUCCACGGCUUUUCCAUUAAACUUUACCCCAAAUCACA
rnacentral:lncRNA from 1 species